UAAGACGUGCCGCAUUCUAACGGUGAUCUAUUUACGUCCCUUGCUCUUCGAGAUCCCAGCGCCCGCGGCUCGAACAGACCUAAUUUUAUAUUCGGAGCAAAAACUCCGGCACCAUUGCCAAGUGGAGCUCUAACAAUCGCCACCACUGCGUUGCUCGCGGCCUCUUCUAAUUCUUGUGUGUUAACGCCGGCUCCUCUAACCCGGAUACCCGUCACUAUAUCGCGAAUAAUCGUACUAGGUUACGAGUAAAGCUUCUGUAUCGUGUCGUUUAAUGAAAAUUUUUAGAAUUACAGAUGCCAACUUUUCUGACUUUUUGCAAGUGAAGUGUAUUGUUAAUGUGUUUGGUGGUAGAAGAUAUUCUUUGGGCGGCUGAGCUGCUUCAGUUUGAAUUAGACUCAAAGUGUUCGCAAAAUUAUGCUUGGAGUGUUCUGUUCGUUCUAGAAAAUAAAAUAUGAAUACAUUUUAUUUUAUAAAAAUACUUUAUUAAAAUGUAUUCAUAUUUUAUUUUCUAGAACGUCAUUUUUUAAUUAGUAAGUUAUGUUUGUCCUUGCCCAACGCAUUGCGAUGGCGCUAAUUAUUUUCUUAAUUUUAAUUAAGAGUAUCUUUCUUUCUUUGGUUGCAAGCUUUUUAUUCCAGUCUUCUAUUUUAAAUUAAAAUUCACAUUAAAUUCAUCAAGUUCAUUUUACAUCCAGUUACAUUCAUUCAGGUAAAAUCGUAUCAAAUAGUUCUCUGUAAUUUUACUACCCGUAUAAAUGGAAAAAUGAAAUUCUCUUAAAUGUCAGUAUCAUCUAAAAUGCUUCGCAAGUAUAAUCCGAAAAUAAGGUUAAAAAUGUAAUAGAGUAACAAGUAAGUGAACAAAAUAAAUAGGUAUUUCAACUUUCCUAUGUGUAAUUUUUGAACGAAAGUUUGCACGCAUAUUCAAGUGGGAUACUCGAGGCGAUUCCGAGUGAACAAUUUUAAAUCAGAACAUACGGAACUUUCGUGGAAAAUGUCAGGACGAAAGUCACGAAAAUCGCGGGCCGACUGCGCGGAAACCGUGGAAAUAACAGAAUUGUCGUUUUUCUAUGGCUUCUGAUCGCGCUUUCGGCCUUAAGCUUCCUUUCCCUUUUGUAACAGGAUCGGUGAAACAAAAGAACGAGGGUAAAGUUUGGCGGUAGAGACAGGAUUAAUGCCCACCGCGAGGGAAGCUUUCGAAAGCUCCGGAUCCGGCAUGGAAACGGCGACAACGAGCUACCGGGGAUUUACUCUGUGAAAGCAGAGGGAAACGAACGAACAACGAGCCCAUCUGCUGAUACAAUUCCAAUUGACCGUUGUUGCCUGCGUAGAAACAUAUUUGAAACAUAUAAAUCUUCGCUCUUUGAUAUAAUCUUCUAAUAAAUGUACAUUACAAAGUGUCUUUCGUGAUCCAAUGUUAUUUCGAUAUCUGAAGAAUUUAAUUUAAUCAGAAAUAUAUCAGCGCAAUUAAAUAUUUUUUGAAAAGGAAAUUUAUAUUAUAAAUUUAUAACAUAAAUUGCUUUUUGCGAUCCAACGGUAUUUUGAUAUUGGAGAAAUGAAUUUAAUAGAAAUAUAUUGGAAGAAUUUACGUCCUACAUCCUGUUACCUCGAAUUUAAUAUAUCUAUCGUUAAAUGUACAAGAACUCAGGUGAUUUAUCGGUGUUCAUCGAUAACGUUAUCGUCAUCGAUAGCUCCUGCCACGGCACUUGGCAAGACACAGCGGCUGUUACGCAUCCAAAUGCAAUUAUUUAUCGGCCCGUGAAAAUAGAAUGCUCGCGGUCGUGCUAUAUAUAAUAGGUGCACGUAGCUGACAAAUACGAGCCAGUAACACGAAUUCGAUGUAGCAAUUAAUAAUGACGAACGAGCGUGCCGACCUCUUAGUCAUCGUUCGAGUACCAGCUAAUACCAACCAAGGGUCACCGUGUCGAAGCGACAUAGAACUGCAAUAACCGAGUAAUUAACAGUCGAGGAGCCAGACAUCGCAUAAACAUUAAUCACUUCAACGUGGUAUAUAAAAUCUCAUGCGCUAAUAAACUAGAGUAGAAUCUUGUAACUUCUGUAACAGGAUAACCUAGCUUCUAAAUAAUGAAAUCAAAGUCUGAAACAAAAUAUUCUGUCCAAUGGAUAAUUGAAUUAAAUUAUGGGAGUAAAUGUUGGAUGCAAUAUUUCUUGAGAAUCGAUUAACCUCGAGGAAAUGAAUUUUCAAGACCUUUACGACCUUGCAUCUUCGAAACGAUUUAUAACUUGACCGAAUUUACCAAAAUUCCUCUUAAGUCGAUCUUAUCCAUCUAUGCAUUUAGGUUUAGCCAGUUGUAAGUUUGAAGAAAUCUUCUCUCGGUUUCGCAAUGUCUAAAGAAAUGUAACGAUGCUAAUGAGAUAGAAGUUGUACACGUAGAAGUUUAAGCAAGAAGCUUCCUGCAUGUCGCAUCCUCCUGUCGUCGGUCAACACGGAAGUGAACUGAACCCUUGGAUGUGCAAACAUUGAGAAAAGAAAGAGAGAGAGAAAGAGAGAGACGUGAUGUACGCCAUAAAACACAGCGAAUUCUUGCUGGAGACGAGGCGGGAUCUUAGUCGUAAUAACGUCUCUUUGGCACGCCAAUUAACCGGUGCAAUAAAUUGCUUUUUCCCUGUUCCUGCUGGCGAAUGUGCACUUUAAAUUGCGAGGGAGCUUCGUGGAUGACCUACAUUUUUCGAAUAAAUUGGAAAAUCCAUGCUGCACCAAGAAUUCAAACGUUUCAUUCGACUUUUGAUGGAAUUUGAAUUAUUUAAUUAUGUUGCUUGUUAAACCGAUAUUCGACUAGAUAUCGUUAUGGGAUUAAUAAGAGGGAGGUGACAUUUGAAAAACAUUUCUUCAAGCAAGUGGGAAGAAUACGAAACUAUUCAUUGAAGAAUAAAAAGUUUCUUUUAGAAUUUAUAAAAGUCAUACAAAUAUUUAGUUGGCUAAAUAUUCUGUAUACGGUGACUAAUAUACAAUUUCUCGCUAGACAUUCUAUUUUAUUUUCAAACCAUCGCGUUGAUAGUACAGUCUGGAAUAAUAAACAUUUGCUAAAAAUACGUUUCGAGUUAUUGCCCUGUUUCUUCAUUAAUGUCUAUUUUCAGAUGAAAUAUUUUAGACGUUCUUAAUGAGGAUCGAAUACAUUGGUAUAAUAUUAGAAAAAUGUUAUUUUUAAACGGCGCCAUUUACAUCUCAAAAAAUGAUAUCAACAUUCCAUGAUGUCAGAGAUCGAGAUUUCUAACUUCUGAAUAAUUCAAUGAAAUUGCAGAAACGAAUUGAGAAAGAAAGAAUGAACUCAUGCACUUCCAUUCAGAAUCGAAUUUUCCAUGACAUGCAUUCCGAGAUAUCAGAAACGCGUGAUGUUACGACGAGAAAGAUUUUAUGCCGCGAGAUUAAUGUUAACAGACAGCAAGACCGAGAUCUAUUCCGGUCGAGGCCGGCUAUGUUUAGAGAAUUCGAGAACGUUUACCUAAUAUAGAGCUAAGUAAUCGUCGUGCUAUCGAUUGCACGAAUUUUGGCCAGACUUUCUGUAAGCUCAGGUUCUUUAUUCCCUCGUAAUUGCGGCGCGCUUUACUUGGCAAUCGACUUGCUUGGCCACUGCUCAGGCUUUUAGGCGACCACAAUCGAUGCUACGCACCCCUCGAACGACUCCGCGAAAAAUGAAUCGAUAACAUCCUCUAAUAUCAAUCAUAUUUAAGAAACUGACUUGUAAAACGAGUGAAAACUGUUAUAUCUCUCCUAAACUUUAUAACAAGCAAGACUAUAAGAAAUUCCAAUUAGAAGUUUCCGAUAGCACUCUCCCUCGCAUCAGCCAUAUCUACACGUAAAAGAAUUGCUGAUUGGUCUUAAAAAAGAUUAAAAAGCCAUUAUAGUGUUAUAAUGUAAAUUUUGCUCUCCAUUUGUCAAUAUUAUAAAGAACUUCUAAUAUACAAUUAAAAUCGUUCUCAGGAAUGCCCCGAUUUCAAACAUCCACUGCAUCAGCACGUUUUUCCCAAAACCAAGAAAUAAGGCAACAUCGAACGUGAAAGGAAUUGCGCGAUAACGAUCGUUUUCUCAUAACGCAGCGUUCGAAAAGAAAAAAGAAAAAAAAAGAAGGCACUUAUCGAGGUUGGAUAAUGUUUCCAAGUAACGCGGAAUGUCACGUUGGAAAACGUCUUUCCUUGUUAUCGCUGAGCGACGAAUUUUUAUCAAGCACGGCGCGAUAACGUGCAACACUUUGCCAACGAAACUCGCUCGA